GGGGGUUUGGUAUAAUGGCAUUAUGACGGUCUCCAAAACCGUUGAUAGAGGUUCGAUUCCUCUAACCCCCG
rnacentral:tRNA from 1 species